rnacentral:snRNA from 1 species
GUGCUCACUUCUACAGCACAUAUAUUAAAAUUAGAACAAAACAGAUUAACAUGGCCUCUGGGCAAGGAUGAUAUGCAAAUUCUGAAGCAUUACAUAUUUUA